GUCCCCUUCGUCUAGAGGCCUAGGACACCGCCCUUUCACGGCGGUAACAGGGGUUCGAAUCCCCUGGGGGACG
rnacentral:tRNA from 2 species